UCUCCUCCUUUGACCACCUCCCCACCUCCACCCCCUCCUUCCCUUCCCCCCAUCUUCCUCUACCCUUCCCUCCUCCUCCUCCUCCUCCAAUCAUCACUCCGAGCACUUAAUUCUCCUUUAUAAGAAGACAUCAUCUCUCUACUUUCUUGAUCCAUUGAUGGUUAUCCCUCCAAGCCUAACCCCCCAGGGCAGGAAAGAAUGGGCGCAUGCUUCUCCGCGGACACCAAAGUAAGCGGCGGCAUCGUGCCUACUCGCCUUAGGCCGAUAGGUCAGCCGCAGAAGCAGCAGCAACCGCAGCCAGAGCAGAAUAAUCAGGCACCGCGGGAGAAGCAACAGCAGAAUGACAGAGGCAAUAAGCGGCGGCCGUGCGGGCUUCUGUCGUGUGGCAAGAGGACCGAUUUUGGGUAUGCGAAGGAUUUCGAGAGCCGGUAUUCGAUCGGGAAGCUGCUUGGGCAUGGGCAGUUUGGGUAUACAUUUGUCGCCACCGAGAACUCCACCGAGGAGCGGGUGGCGGUGAAGAGGAUAGACAAGAGUAAGAUGAUCCUUCCUGUUGCUGUGGAGGAUGUAAAGCGGGAAGUAAAGAUACUGCAAGCCCUGAAAGGCCAUGAGAAUGUUGUCAAUUUUCAUAAUGCAUAUGAGGAUGAUUCCUAUGUGUAUAUAGUCAUGGAGUUAUGCGAGGGAGGUGAAUUACUGGAUCGGAUAUUGGCCAAAAAGGAUAGUCGCUACACUGAGAAAGAUGCUGCAAUAGUAGUAAGACAGAUGCUUAAAGUUGCAGCUGAGUGUCAUUUGCAUGGUUUGGUACACCGAGAUAUGAAGCCUGAGAACUUUCUUUUCAAAUCAACUGAAGAGAACUCACCUCUGAAGGCAACAGAUUUUGGCUUGUCUGAUUUUAUAGAGCCAGGGAAGAAAUUCCAUGCAAUUGUUGGUAGUGCAUAUUACGUUGCACCAGAGGUAUUAAAGCGGAAGUCUGGCCCUGAAUCUGAUGUUUGGAGCAUAGGGGUCAUCACUUAUAUUCUUCUUUGUGGAAGACAUCCCUUUUGGGAUAGAACUGAGGAUGGAAUAUUUAGAGAGGUGUUAAGGAACAAGCCUGAUUUUCGUCGGAAACCAUGGCCUAGCAUAAGCAACAGUGCCAAGGACUUUGUUAAGAAGUUAUUAGUAAAAGAUCCUCAUGUUAGACUCACUGCUGCUCAAGCUUUAUCAAAUCCAUGGGUGAGAGAAGGGGGCAAUGCAUUAGAGAUACCAUUGGAUAUCUCUGUUCUAUCAAACAUGUGCCAGUUUGUAAAGUAUAGCCGUCUAAAGCAGUUUGCUCUGAGGGCGCUAGCAAGUACUCUUGAUGAAGAUGAGCUAGCAAAUCUUAGGGAUCAAUUUCAAGCAAUUGAUGUUGAUAAAAGUGGUUCAAUAAGCCUUGAUGAAAUGAGACAAGCACUUGCCAAGGAUGUUCCUUGGAGAUUAAAGGGACCACGUGUUCUGGAGAUUCUUCAAGCUGUUGAUAGCAAUACCGACGGACUUGUUGACUUCACUGAAUUUGUUGCAGCAACUUUGCAUGUGCAUCAGAUGGAGUAACAUGAUUCUGAGAAAUGGCAUUUACAUUGUAAAGCUGCUUUUGAUAAAUUUGAUGUGGAUGGAGAUGGAUAUAUUACACCAGAGGAACUUAGAAUGCAUACAGGGUUGAGGGGUUCUACCGAACCAUUACUAGAGGAAGCUGAUAUUGACAAAGACGGAAAGAUUAGCUUGUCUGAAUUCCGUAAGUUACUAAGAACUGCAAGCAUGAGUUCCAAUGUUCCUAGUCCAUCUGGUAUAAGGAAUCCUCAGAAGUUCUAACUCCCACUGGGUAGAGGAAAAAGAUUGGCAGGAGUCAUAAACAUUACCAUUUCUAUAAUGUUCUUGCCAAAAAUUCUGAGGCUCAUUAUCAAGAACCAUAUGAGAUGGUUUUCUUCUCAGCAUGGGUGAAGUCUUCAAGUUGCUAGUGAGAGAUGAAAGGAUCAUUGGUAAAAGGAACUGCAAGAAAGCAUUAAUGGCCCGAUGUAGUAAUUUCGUGUCUUGCAUGGUACAUUAUGUGCUUAAGUUGAAGGGUCUCCUCCAUCUUUCAUCACGAAUGAAUGUGUUGUGUGUAUCCUA